rnacentral:lncRNA from 13 species
UUCUGCAGUGAGGGGCUACCAGCCUACUGCGGUGGAAGGAAGAAGACAUUUUAAAAGGUUUCAAAAGCGAGAGGCAUGUUUGGGUGUUUCACAUCUCCAUGCUUACCACUUCUGCAAAAUCAGCCUUCUUGGGCACAUUGAUGUUGGCAUAUUGGCUUCCUUUAAGCUC